rnacentral:rRNA from 1 species
CAUAAGCGGAGGAAAAGAAACCAACAGGGAUUGCCUCAGUAACGGCGAGUGAAGCGGCAACAGCUCAAAUUUGAAAUCUGGCCGCAAGGUCCGAGUUGUAAUUUGUAGAGGAUGCUUUUGGCGAGGUGACUUCCGAGUUCCCUGGAACGGGACGCCAUAGAGGGUGAGAGCCCCGUACGGUCGUGCCACCGAGCCUCUGUAAAGCUCCUUCGACGAGUCGAGUAGUUUGGGAAUGCUGCUCUAAAUGGGAGGUGUACGUCUUCUAAAGCUAAAUACCGGCCAGAGACCGAUAGCGCACAAGUAGAGUGAUCGAAAGAUGAAAAGCACUUUGAAAAGAGGGUUAAAAAGUACGUGAAAUUGUUGAAAGGGAAGCAUUCAUGACCAGACUUGGGCUUGGUUGAACAUCCGGCGUUCUCGCCGGUGCACUCUGCCAGCUCAGGCCAGCAUCAGUUUGCCCCGGGGGAUAAAGGCGGUGGGAAUGUAGCUCCCUUCGGGGAGUGUUAUAGCCCGCCGUGUAAUGCCCUGGGGUGGACUGAGGUUCGCGCUUCGGCACGGAUGCUGGCGUAAUGGUCAUCAAUGACCCGUCUUGAAACACGGACCAAGGAGUCGUCUUCGUAUGCGAGUGUUCGGGUGUCAAACCCCUACGCGUAAUGAAAGUGAACGUAGGUGAGAGCUUCGGCGCAUCACCGACCGAUCCUGAUGUUCUCGGAUGGAUUUGAGUAAGAGCAUACGGGGCCGGACCCGAAAGAAGGUGAACUAUGCCUGUAUAGGGUGAAGCCAGAGGAAACUCUGGUG